rnacentral:lncRNA from 1 species
UUUUUUUUUUUUUUUUUUUUUUUUUUUUGUCUUUUUGUCUUGUUGUUGUUGUUCUUGUUGCUAUUUCUUGGGUCGCUCCCUCGGCAUAUGGAGAUCCCCAGGCUAGGGGUCAAAUCAGAGCUGGAGCUGCCAGCCUACACCACAGCCACAGCAACAUCAGAUUCAAGCCUUGUCUGCAACCUACGUCACAGUUCACGGCAAUGCUGGAUCCUUAACCCACUGAGCAAGGCCAGGAAUGGAACUCGCAACCUCAUGGUUCCUGGUCAGAUUCAUUUCUGCUGCACCAUGAUGAGCACUCCCCAAACCACUUUUUAAACAAACAUAAAACAAACAAACAAAACCAUUAUAAUCUCCUGGGAGAAAUGAGUCACUUUUUCUAUAUUAAGGAAUAUAGAACUCAGCUGAUCACCAAGUACCAAGUAAGACAAAAGACAGAAAGAAACCCCUCUGAUGGGAAAAAUUUAUUUGUAAUCUUCUAACUGGAUCCCCAUUGGUGUUAAUUAUUUCUACAGUUCUCUCAAAGCCCACUAAAAUUCCACCUCUUCUGUGAGAAAUACGAAAAGGUACAUGACAGGGCCCACCUGUUUUAUAGGUAUUUCAAAAUCUGCACAUCUGGGGCUGAACUUACACUUUUGUCCUCACACCUUGGUCCUCUCUCAGGGUCACAUGGCUUCAACAACUUUUCUCAAAACAAAAUUGAAAGACAUCCCUUUCCCUUCCUUGUCUUUCACUCCAUUAACUCCAAUAUCCUAUUAAUAAUUAAGUCCCUCCUUAUCCAUCUCCUAAGUACCAUCAGAUCAUAAGUACCAUCUGAAUCCACCCUACCUCUACCACCCUUGAUAAAGCCAUCAUCUUCUCUCUCCUGGACAUUUGCCAAAAGCUUCUCAAAUGGUCUCCAGGUACACACUCUUGCUCCAUUCUGGAGUCAAAAGGGUCUGAAAGAUGAAACCUAUCUCAGAUAGCUUCCAGCUGCCCAUAGGAUAAGUUCCAAACUCCUUAGCCUCAAGGUCCUGCAUGAUCUGCCACUUGUUACCUUGUAACUUGUUAUAGGCUCUUUCUCCCAUCACCUUCUCCCGGCUGCCUGAGGACUCAAGCCAUGUUGGUCCUUGUCCCUCCAAAGAGGAGGCCAGGCUCUUACUCAUCCCAGAGCUUCAUCCAUGCUGUGCCCCCUCCUUCUCUCCUGCUUCCUUUCCCUCUCCUUCUAGCCAGGUCCUACUCCGCCUUCAGAUCUCGACUCCACAUCCUCAGGUAAGCAGUCCCGGACACCUGCCCCCCUGGAUUAGGUCCCCUCCUAGAUAUUCCCACAGCUCUUUAUAUCUCUCCUUUGUAACCCACAAUGUACUAUUAAGUCCUUGUUCUUUGUCUAUUUAGAAGUUAGAAAUUACAAGAUAAUAGGGACUGUCUCUUCUUCAAUCGCUGCUGCAUCCCAGGUUCUCGGCAUCUAAUUUAUGCUCAAAUAGUUGUCGAAUCAAUAAAUGAAUGAAUGAUGUGCUGUCUAAAUCAGUGACUCAUAAACUUUGCGCUGCAGAAGAAUCAACUGAGAAGCCAACAGGCAGAUCUGUGAUCAGUCCCAGAAUCUACCUUUUCAACAAGAAUCCAGGGGAUUUGGAUGCAGAUCUUCCUAACUUUAGGAAGCAUUCCUCCAGGAUACAGAGAGCGAGGGCAGAGGAUUGAGGUUAAAGAGACAAAAGGGAGCAAAAUGGGAGAAGUUAAAUAACAAGUGACGAUUUAUGUAACUGUUCAAACAACCGCUGAACAUCUGAAGGGCUAAAUGACAGACUGUCAGAUUCAUUCCUCAGACAACAAAGAGCCCAGAAUGGUUAGAAGCAGCAGCUACCUGAUGUGGCUGGAGGUCAGAGGAGGUAUUAAAAUGGGAAAAUUAGUUUGCUCUUGUGCUAAAGGUUGGGUAAUGUUGGAAAGAAGGGGAGGAGGGCAAAUGGUAUUGCAGGCAGAUAUACAAGUAGGAAGCAGGAGUUCAGUAAGAGGGCAAGAAGUGAAGCACUUUACUGAAGAGCAGGCUCAGGAACUGAGUGGUCGGGGAUGUGACUGGAAAUACAGGGAAGGGCCUGACCAUAGAGGUCCUUGAAGUUAAUGAAGGGGAUCAGAACAGGCCACCUCAAAAUACAGUGCUUUGGCUUAAGGAUCAUUUUGAGCGGAAGGCAAUUGAAAAAUAGCAGAUGCAGGAGGAACUCUCUGUCCUCCCCUUUCUGCCUAAAAGCAGGGCAUAAAUUUCCCUUUGUGAAGGCGUCCCCUUCUCCUCCUCCAUACAGGGAAGGGGAGAUGCCUCGGACAGUACCACCUCGAGUCUGCAUAACACAUCUUAUUAACUCCUUAUCCUCCAGGAGUUUCUCCCAUAUAUUUGCCUUCUCACAACCUUCUCUAGAAGCCCAAACCUCUUUUCUUUUUUAAAAAAUUGGAGUAUAAUUGAAAUUCGAAUUGGUACAGUGUUGUGCCAGUUACAGCAUAGUGACGCAGUCAUACAUUCUUUUUCUCGUGUUAUCUUCCAUCAUGUUCUAUCCCAGGAGAUUGGAUAGAGUUCCCCGUGCUGUACAGCAGGAUCUCACUGCUUACCCAUUCUAAAUGUAAUAGUGUGCAUCUACCAGCCCCAAACUCUUUUCUUUUAUCUGUUGUCUUGUCAUCUCUCCUCAAUUUAUCACCUGUUGUUAAAAUGGUAUAUAUGCUUGCAGGCCCAACUGCUUGUAGGGUUUUUCAAUGAUUUUAUUGUGCAGUUUCUAGUGUGCAUGUGAAAUAAACAUUUUUCAACUGUUGCUCUGUCUUUUGUCCACUUAGUUUACAGGCCUCAGUCACUGAACUUAAGAGUGGUAGAAGAAAAGAUUCUUUCCUCUACAAUAAGAAAGAGAAUGACAGGAAAAAACUCCCCCAAAGUAACACCUGACUUGCAAUUUAAAUGAAGUGUUAAAACGUGGGAUACUUAAAAGGAAAUACUCAUUUUUUUUGGUAUAAUAUACCACAUUGCCCCUGAAACACUAAAAGACUUCUCCAUAAGGUAGCCUUCAUAUAUGUUAUAAAAAUACAGGGGAAAAAAAAUCAAGGCAAAAGGAAAAGGUGACACUUAUGUCAUGUCAUGGAAGUGCUUAGUUCUAAGACAACUGAGUGCUGAGAAAUUUCAAAGGAAAUGAAAGAACUGAAAUAUAAGUCUAACUUUGAACUCAGUUAACAUAAGAAGAGUCCCUUUUUUCUGUCUUAACUUAUUUCAUGUCUGCUUUGAUAAGUCGUGGGAAGGAAUUGAAGGGGAUCAGGACAUGCUUUUCUAAAAUAUGCCACUUUGGCAUAAGGAUUAUUUUGAACUGAAAGCAAUUAAGAAACAGCAGACCCAGGAGAAAGUGUCUGCCCUUCCACUUUCUACCUAAAAGCAGGGCAUAAACUUUCCUUUAUGAAGGUGUUUCCCAUUCCUGUACUGGGAAGAGGAAGGCAACUCUUAUCACUGCAGACAGAGUCAGCCCUGAGAUGAGUCUGCAUAAACAAACCUUACUAAAAUAACCCUUAUCUUCCAUUAGUUUCCCUCCAUAUAUUUUCUACUCAUUCAAAGCCCAAACAAAGAAGAGCCUUUGUUAAAAUGAUAGAUAAGUCCCUGAGUUUAUCACUUCUUUGCAUUUAACUUCUUUUCUGAGAACUCUCACGCAUGAAUGAUAUCGAUGAAAUGUAUAUUUCUUUUCUCCUCCUAAUCUGUUUUUUGGUCAGUUAAAUUCACAGGCCCCCAGACACUGAACCUAAGAGGGUAGAGGAAAAGGUCCCCCCGCCCCCCGGCCCAACAGAAUCUAGUUGAUGGAAUUAGAAUGUCACAAUCCAUUAUAUGAUGGUUGACUGAAUCAAAGAGAGGGUAUAAAAAGGCACAAAGAAAAACUCCAGAAUUUCACCCUGACUAGGUCCUGCCACAGCCCCCACAACCAGCUCCUGAACUUCUACAUGUGGAACCUGCAAGUAGUCCAGGAAUGGUGCUCAAAAGACCAGGCUUUAAGUCCAAGUUCUAUCACUUCCAAGCCAGAUGGAUUCCCCUCACUUCAACUACAGAUUCUUUAUCUGUGAAACGGGGAUUUUUUUUUUUUUUUUGCCAUCAUUACAGGGUUGUGAGCAACCAAUAAGCAUUUGUAAACUGUAAGUCAGUUUAUAAAUAGAAGGCAUUAUUAAAUUCUAUCAAUAGGUAACAUAAUAGCAAAGGAGAUUUCAUCUUUUUUUCUUAAAUUACUAUGCAAGUGACAUUCAAGGAAACAGUUGUAGGAGAUGAUAUGAGAUAAAAUGGUGAAAUAAUUACAAAUGAUGCAAUAAUACUCUUAUGUGUAUACGUUCUCUCUUUGGCUUUACUUCAUUUGCUUUCUUGAGGAUAAAUAUCUUAAACCCCAGCAGUACAUCAGUGUUACUCUCUGAAGGCUAAAUACUGCAAAAAUUUAUAUCUGAUAUUUAGGAAAAGUGCCAAACCUGGCGAUAUCUGUACACACACUGGAUCCAAGAUUCAGCAAACAGAUGCUCUUUCUUGCAAUCAGCCAAGAACUUCUAAUAUUCUGACAACUUGUUAAUCAACCAACAUAUGGUAUCACUUUAGUAAACACAACACUCAGAUUUUGCUUUACAGGGCACUUUCUGAGAGAUAUAAUGGUCCUGACUCAUCAACCCUAUUCACUGGAAAUCAGGGGAAGCUAGGCUGCACCACCCACCUUAAAUUUGUUUAAUUACUCGGGGAAAAAAUAAAUAUGGGCAUCGAUGUGGAUUCUGUGCAUUUUUUUUUCUGAGAUGAGAUUUUUAAAAAUGCCAUCUUUUGAGACAUCUGUAAAAGCAGUAGAAUACCUUUAUUCUACAGAUUUACAUAUAUAUGUGUAAUAUAUCCAAAAUGCCUGAAGUUCCUGCAUUAGACUCCUAGGGCUGCUGUAACAAAUUACAGCAAACUAGCUGGCUUGGAACAAGAUACAUUUAUUUUUUGACCUUCUGGAGGCUAGAAGUCUGAAAUGGAGUUGUUGGCUAGGCUAUGCUCCUUCUGAAGCCUCUGGUGUGUGAGUGUGGGGGGUCCUUCUUUGCCUCUUCCAGCUUCUCAUGGCCCCAAGCCCAUUUUGGCUCCUGGCAUGUAACUCACCUGCACGUGGCCCUCUUCCUCAUGUUUGUGUCCAGAUUUUACUCUUAUUUUAAGGACCUCAGUCAUACUGAACUAGGGACCACUGCACUCCGUUGUGACCACAUCUUAACCUGAUUACAUCCAAACAGGGUCACGUUCACAGGUAUAGCCGGAGUCAGGACCUCACAUAUCCUUUCCAGGUAUAUGAUGCAACCCACAAGCGUUCCAAAUGGACAGAUCUGAUCGUACGAGGUGAUCUGGUGGUCCUAUCAGCCAUGUGUGGGCCUUUUCUCCCGAUGCUCUUCCUGUGGCAGAAUUUCCCCUCUUUUUUUUUUUUUUUUAGGGCCACACCCAUGGCAUAUGGAAGUUGUUGGGCUAGGGGUGAAAUUGGAGCUGCAGCUGUAGACCUACACCACAGCGCACGGCAACGUUGGACCCUUAACCCACUGAAAAAGGCCAGGGAUUGAACCUGCAUCCUCACAGAUACUAUGUUGGGUUCUUAACCUGCUGAGCCAUAAGGAGAACUCCAGAAUUUCCCCCUUUUUUAUGGCUGAAUAAUAGUCCACCAAAAAUUCACUCCCCCCCACCAACAUUCAUAUCUUCGAACAGAGUAAAAUCUUUGAACUCCACCUUAAAAAUAUAUCCCAACAAUAACUCCUCCUUCCAUUUCCACUGUCCCCUGUGGGU